rnacentral:rRNA from 1 species
AGGGUUUGAUUAUGGCUCAGGAUGAACGCUGGCGGCGUGCUUAACACAUGCAAGUCGAGCGAAGCGCUUAAGCGGAUUUCUUCGGAUUGAAGCUUUUGUGACUGAGCGGCGGACGGGUGAGUAACGCGUGGGGAACCUGCCUCAUACAGGGGGAUAACAGUUAGAAAUGACUGCUAAUACCGCAUAAGCGCACGGAGGCGCAUGCUUCCGUGUGAAAAGCUCCGGCGGUAUGAGAUGGACCCGCGUUAGAUUAGCCAGUUGGCGGGGUAACGGCCCACCAAAGCGACGAUCUAUAGCCGGCCUGAGAGGGCGACCGGCCACAUUGGGACUGAGACACGGCCCAA